rnacentral:piRNA from 1 species
UGGUGUGUAGAUAUACAUGGAAGC